UGAGGAAUAUUGGGCAAUGCCCGCAAGGGUGACCCAGCAACGCCGCGUGGAGGAUGAAUGUCGUAAGAUUGUAAACUCCUGUUAGAGGGGAAGAAUAGUACCGGUUGGACCGGUAUAUGACUAUACCCUCAGAGAAAGCCCCGGCUAACUACGUGCCAGCAGCCGCGGUAAUACGUAGGGGGCAAGCGUUGUCCGGAUUUACUGGGUGUAAAGGGCGCGCAGGCGGGAUAAAAAGUCAGUGGUGAAAUCCUACAGCUUAACUGUAGAACUGCCUUUGAUACUGUUAUUCUUGAGUUCGGGAGAGAGAGACGGAAUUCCAGGUGUAGUGGUGAAAUACGUAGAUAUCUGGAAGAACACCAGUUGCGAAGGCGGUCUCUUGGUCCGACACUGACGCUGAGGCGCGAAAGCGUGGGGAGCAAACA
rnacentral:rRNA from 1 species